AAGUGUUCCUUUAUGACCACCUAUUACUUCCUCAUCAAAAAAUAAUAUAUAACUUAGCACUACAGCAGCAUCAUGUGAGAUCAAGAAACAGCAUGCCCAUAACAUUCAUCAGGAUUAUAUGGUACACUAGAUUGAAUAUGUUUCAACUAGAUGGGCCGACACAAGAAUUCGAUUGUGGUGGUUCAAAAAACGUUCUGAUUAAAUAUGAUGCAUCAAGUUUACAUGUGACCAAGGUUUGCUGUACCGGUCGGUACCGGUCGGUACCGAGCGUACCGUACCCGUAUCGAUGGGUACCGGUAUCGGUACACCAAUGUCGGUACGCUUGGCGUGCCGCAUACUGUACCGUACCGACACUCGGUACAUCUAUACUAGUGCGGCACCGGUACGGGGUUCGGUACCGGUACGGCGAACCUUGCAUGUGACUGUGUUAUUAUCUCGGUCUUGUGGCUUAUAAUCGGUGUCUUGGAGAAGAACUCAUUUCCCGACAUCAUCCCAUGUCAUAUCCUCUCUUUAUCUAGAGUUUUCCCAGUUAAGGAUAAUUCUGGAGGGUUCCUCCCUAGUUGCACAAGUCUCUCUACCCACAAAUUAACCUCCUAUAUGUCAUAGCAUGCCACACUCUUGCCCUAGUUGCCUUGACUAGGAGCUCAGCACCAAAUCUAGGAGAGUUGACAUCUAUGUCAUUUGGGAUGAAAGACAGCAUGUAAUAUAUAGCAGCCAUUAUCUCAAAG
rnacentral:lncRNA from 1 species